ensembl:lncRNA
AGUAGCUGUCAACAUUGGGGAUUGGCCAGUUGGGGGGGUGGGACUGAGUCUGAAGCAGCCUCCAGAGACAGCACAGGGGUGGUCCAACCAGGAGGCAAUAGGAAGAAGGCUUGGCAGGGGGUCAGAGUUCAGUAUCCGGCUGGAGAUAGUCUACUACUGGUAGCUAUUCAAUGAAAGAGUGGACAUCGAGUCAUGGGAAUUUGGUACAGGGAUUAUACCAAGAGAGGAAAUAGUAACAUUCCAGGUAAAGAGGAAAAAGCAUACAGAGUAGGAAUCCAAGAUGUAGCUCAGGAAGGCACAGGGAGGAGCCAAAUAGAAUCCAGAAUGGAUGUAAUUAUAAGGUAAUGAGGGCUGAAUCCAGUUACUGGAAAGAACGAGCCUUGAGAGUAACUAGCCGAAGGCUGCAUUUAGUUCCUCUUCCUAGGACAUGUCUGGCAGCUCAGAGGGAGGUGAAGAGGCUGUUUACUAGCUAAACAGGCAGGUGGGCGGCAGGGGCAGCGAGUCAGGCAGGUCCUCACUGUUGAAUUACCAAUAAUCUCCGAGUGUCUGAAUCCACCAACAAGCAAGCAGGGCCCAAAUGGAGAAAGCCUGUUUGCAACAGCCCUUAUAAGAGACUUCUGUUGUUCUUGUCUGUCUAGCACCUCUUCUCCUUCUGCUGCCAACGGAACUACUUUUUAGUGGGGAACCCCCAACUUCCGAGAGUAGUGAGCGUGUGACCUGAGCCCAGUCAAUCAGAGUGCUCCAUUUCCUUGGUUUGAGGAAGGGCGGGAAACCUAGAAAGGCCAAUCAGAUUCUUCCUUGAGAUUUGAUAUUUCGGUGAGUAGUUGGGGGGAGCAGAGCUCUCUCUCAAUCUUGGGAUCACAAGCUGUAAAGACGAUGUAGACUGGAGUUGCUUUGUGUCACCUUUCCUGGAUGCAUGGGGAAAGCCAUCUGCAGUAAGAGAGAAUGAGCCCAAUAUUAAGAGAGAAUCAGAAAUGAAGAGGGAUGAGAGAUAGGGUCCUAAGGACAUUUCUUGGGCACUAAAUCCAGUCACAGCCAUCCCUGCUCUUUUGUGAGCCAAUAAGUUCUCUUUUACUUAAGCCAGUUUCAAGCCAAUUUCACUUGGGGUUCUGUUACUUGCCACGUAAGGAAAUCAGACUAAUAUGUUUGCUUACUUACUGGUUCGUAGCAAUACGUAUCCGUUGCCUCCAUCCACAGCGAGCCUGAAAUUUAUGUUUGGACUGAAAAUACUUGCUCAAGUCUGACCUCCAUUGCUCUUCAUGAGAACACACUGACCACCUGGGCGAGCCUACGGCCAGUGCCACUGUCUGGCAAAAUCUCGGUGAGAUCAGAUCUGUGUCACUGCCCAGCCCUGCUUUUGACAUCUGCCUGUGCUUAUGAGCUCCCUGCUCCCUCUUUCCCCGUGAUCCUCUCCGACUGUGGAUAAAAUCCUCAGUCCUUUCCACUUUGACUCUUCCUUUUUGCCAGUAAGUUUCAAACCUACAACUCAAAUCCUGACCUUUCUCCUGAAACCAGAUACCUGUUUUUAAUUUCUAUUUCCAGGUUCAAUGAUCAGCUCACACUCAACAAGUCCGAAACAGAACUCAUCAGUCUCCUGGUACUGUUGAUGGCACUACCAUUGUGCCAGUCAUCUGCCCUUGACAAUCUCCACAUUAUUUGGGCUGCCCUUCUUUCCCUCAUCCUCCAUGUACACUGAGUCAUGGAGCAAAAUCCCUUUCCUUCAUAAUGUCUGCGUGUGCCAGAAGCUGCGUGAGCUUCUGAAGGUAGAACAAAAAUCAAGAUGUGAUCCCUGACUUGAAGAGUUUGGAUCCUACCAGAGGAACAAUCCAAGGCAGAAAGUGCUGAGUGCCACAUCAGCGGCAGCAGAGAAAGGACUAAGGGAGCCUGGUAGAGACAGCGUUCAUGUCUGCUAUUGGGGAUCAGGGAAGAGUCGUGGUAGAACAGCCACAGUCCGUGACGGGAGAAGUGCAUCAUGAGAAAAGAGACCCAGGAGAGCAACUGACUGAAGUGCUCUUGGAAUGACGACUUCAGUUUGCUGGUGCAUUGGGUCAAAGCACCGGGGAAACAUGGUUGAGGUCGGCACUGUGGAUGAGGCAUACAAAAGCCAGUUACAGCUCCAUUCUGUCUUGCUUUCCCAUAUUAUGGAGCUAGAAAACUGAAAUACCUGGUUCCCCAGCUCCUCUUGCAACUAUGCAUGACCAAUUUCUGUCCAGAGAGAGUAAAGAGAGGGCAACCCAGUGAAAGUCAUGGGAAAGUGUUUGAAAAGUGAAUAGGCUGUGCUGGCAUGCCCACCUUGGGCUUCCUCCCUCUCCCUUCUUCUUCCUAGUUAGGAACACACAUGCUUACUUGUGGGUAAAGCAGCCAUCUUGGCAACAUAAGACCUCCCCAAAAUAAGGAUAUGUUUGUAGGAUGACAGAGGAGAAAGAGAGAAAGAUCUUGCUUUCUCAGAUGACAUCAUCUGGCUGCUGUGAAGCCCUAGACUGUUUUCCCCACAUGCCUUAUGCAUGAAAAAAAAAUCCCUAUUUAAGUAAAAAUCACUGUUAGUCAGAUUUUCUAUAACUUGCAGCUGAAUAAGAUGCUAACCUAUAAAGCCAUAUGUUAGAAAUACUGAGUACUAUUCUAGAUAAAUUGAAGUUUAUUCUAUAAGCAAGGAAGUUGCAGACAGCUCUUCACAUAGAGGUUAGGGGGAUGCUAUUAUCAGAAAAUUCUCUCCUUUUGCUGUUCACUGUCCGUGCCCUUCACGCUCAGUUCAGUGUCCACCUAUUCAUGGCAGCUUCUGUCUCUUGUCCUGGUCACCUUUAUCCUCACUCUCUGCUGGGCUAUUAUCAAGUAUAGCUUACUGACAUGUAUUGUUACUGAUUCUUCAUGAGUUUAUGUUAUGUAUUCCCAAUAGGACUGUAAUAGUGGUCAUGUUUUAUACUUCCUCUCUCUCUGUCUCUCUCAGUGCCCGGGCUGGAGAGAAGAACACAGUGGUUCCAUGCUCAGGCUGGAGAGAGUUACCACACUUCCUGAUCCUGACCUCCAGUGGAGGAGGGUGGAACCUAACGGCAUCAUUUGGAUCAUACUUGACUCCAGCGAUUACUCCAAACUUGAAGAGCAGCGAGUGGAGUCUUUGUCUUUUAACCCUAUCAAGUGACCUGGUCUUUAAUGCGUGAUUGGCAAUAAUGGAGGAGAUUCAGACAACCAUCCCCUGUCACAGCUUCCUGCUGGAGAGGCAGCAAGAAGCUAGGACUUAAACUCUGAGGGCAGAGUAUCCUGGAUUCACACCCCGACUCUGUUGUUUCCUGGUUGUGUGGCCUUCGGCAAGUCCCUGAACAUCGCGGUAGCUCAAUUUCCUGGUUUGUAAGAUGGGUGAAAAGAAUUCCUUAGGAUGAGGUAAUCUGGGCAAAGUUCCUGUCAUGUAAGAGAUAUUCAGGAAAUAUUGGUUUCUUCACUCCUCCCCACGCCACACACGUGUUGAAUACAGUAACUUUAUUUUCACCACCACCUUACAAGAAACAAUGGCACGCCUAGGUAAGCUGAGUGACUCAAGAACUAGCAAAAAACUAAGUCUUUGGAGUUAGCUACAUUGCAUGCCAAGUGUAAAUUUCCCAUUAAUGGGCUUUAAGUAUAUUAAUGGGAGAAUUUUUGUGCUCCUUGGAUGGAAAAAAAAUACAACAUUUUGUGCCUCUGGUAUCUGAGAGGAAGCCCUGAGACAGAUGGGUUCCCAUAAGUUGUGCAUCGUGAAUGCAAGGAAACUUCAUUCUUCUUACACUACCAGGCAGUCGAUCCAAAAUGGGGAAAAACUCUUUACAUGAAAGCAUGCAAUUACAUGCCAUACCC